rnacentral:rRNA from 1 species
CCGGCGCACGGGUGAGUAACACGUAUCCAACCUGCCGUCUACUCUUGGACAGCCUUCUGAAAGGAGAUUAAUACAAGAUGGCAUCAUGAGUCCGCAUGUUCACAUGAUUAAAGGUAUUCCGGUAGACGAUGGGGAUGCGUUCCAUUAGAUAGUAGGCGGGGUAACGGCCCACCUAGUCUUCGAUGGAUAGGGGUUCUGAGAGGAAGGUCCCCCACAUUGGAACUGAGACACGGUCCAAACUCCUACGGGAGGCAGCAUG